GCUCCAUGCAGGUUCCAGUAGGUCUUCUGCUGUAUUAGUGAUGAUUGGGAUGCAGAUCAACAGAUGAUUCAUUAGAAGAAUUGACCGUCUGCCACUUUUCCGAACAAUCAACUGGAAGUCAAGUUAUUAUUGGUUGCUCUAACCACUGAGAUCGACGACAAGACUUUUGUCAGCGCAUUUUUCGUGUAUGGCCAAACACCAAAAGCGCUUCACAAUCAUGAGGGGGGUCUCUCCACACCACCACCCGUGCGCAACUGCAUCCGCUUGGAUGAUGCGACGGCAGCCACAGGACAACAGCGCCAUGCGCUCGCCACACACCAGCUGUGUGAGAGGUGGAGAGGAGAUACAGUGGAUGGGGAUGAUCGGGAAGCCAUGAUGGUUGAGAGCCAAUGGAAAGAAUUUAGCCAUAACACCAGGGUUACACCCCUACUCUUUAUGAGAAGUGCCAUGGUAUUUUUAAUGACCGCAGAGAGUCAGGACCUCGGUUUGACGUCUCAUCCGAAAGACAAUUCCUGCCUCCUCCAGGACUAUCAAUGAAUCAAAACUUCUUCAUAUGCAUAUAAACAGAAUCAAUGAUGGGCUAAACAUCUGUGGAUUUC